rnacentral:rRNA from 1 species
CCUUCGGGAUGAGUAUAGUGGCGCACGGGUGAGUAACGCGUAGGUUAUCUGCCUUAAAGUGGGGAAUAACACAGCGAAAGUUGUGCUAAUACCGCAUACGAAAGCAAUUUCAAAGGGGGGUAGCAAUACCUCUCGCUUUAAGAUGAGCCUGCGUGACAUUAGGUAGUUGGUGGGGUAAUGGCCUACCAAGCCGACGAUGUCUAUCCGGUCUGAGAGGAUGAUCGGACACACUGGAACUGAGACACGGUCCAGACUCC